AGUCGCGUGGUCUAAUGGUUAUGAUAUUUCGUUUACAGUGAGUGUCGCUCAACUUGAGCCCGCUCCGAAAGGGUUCCCGGUUCGAUCCCGGGCGUGACUA